rnacentral:rRNA from 1 species
GACGAGCUCGCGGCGGAUUAGCUUGUUGGUGGGGUAACGGCCCACCAAGGCGACGAUCCGUAGCUGGUCUGAGAGGACGAUCAGCCACACUGGGACUGAGACACGGCCCAGACUCCUACGGGAGGCAGCAGUAGGGAAUCUUGCGCAAUGGGCGAAAGCCUGACGCAGCGACGCCGCGUGAGGGAAGAAGGCCUUCGGGUUGUAAACCUCUUUCAGGAGGGACGAAGCCACUCGCGGUUAAUAGCCCAGAGGGUGACGGUACCUCCAGAAGAAGCCCCGGCUAACUACGUGCCAGCAGCCGCGGUAAUACGUAGGGGGCAAGCGUUGUCCGGAUUUAUUGAGCGUAAAGAGCGUGUAGGCGGCCACACAGGUCAGCUGUGAAAACUCGAGGCUCAACCUCGAGACGUCGGUUGAAACCGUAUGGCUAGAGUCCGGAAGAGGAGAGUGGAAUUCCCGGUGUAGCGGUGAAAUGCGCAGAUAUCGGGAAGAACACCCGUGGCGAAGGCGGCUCUCUGGGACGGUACUGACGCUGAGACGCGAAAGCGUGGGGAGCGAACAGGAUUAGAUACCCUGGUAGUCCACGCCGUAAACGAUGGGUACUAGGUGU